rnacentral:misc_RNA from 1 species
GUAGUAUCGACACUGAACAAGCUCUCAAUGCCAUGAAAAUCUGCAAGUCGCAUCGGAAGGUUAUUUUGGCGACAAAUAUUGCAGAAUCUUCUGUUACGAUACCUAUGGUGGGCUAUGUCAUUGAUUCUUGCCGUUCUUUACAAGUUUUCUGGGAUAAUAAUAGGAAAAAAGAUUCUGCAGAGCUUGUGUGGGUUUCCAAAUCUCAGGCAGAUCAAAGGAGAGGGAGAACUGGACGGACUUGUGACGGCCAUGUAUAUCGAUUGGUAAAAAGAUCAUUUUACAGUCAAUUAAAGGAUUAUGAGCCUCCUGCAAUACUGAGAUUAUCAUUAAGGCAGCAAGUACUUCUCCUUUGCUGUGCUAAAUCUAAAGCCAUCAAUGACCCCAAAGUUCUGCUACGGAAGGCUUUAGACCCUCCAGAACCUGAAGUGGUUGAGGAUGCAUUGAGUUUGCUUGUUGACAACCAUGCACUACAAAAAGUAUCUCCAAGGAGCCGUUAUGAACCUACUUUUUAUGGAAGAUUGCUUGCCAGUUUUUCUCUU